CAUUGUGUGUGCGCACUGUAUAUGCGCAACAUGUCUGCGCAGUGCGUCUGAAAUCAGCUGUAGCGACCGAGAUUGACGAAGAAAUACGACUUUCGAGGAUGCGGAUUAUCGUAAAUCGAACGGGUACGAGAUGGACAUGGAGACGAAGCUGAGCAAUUUUCUCUCAAUGACACCAAUGAUAAGGAAUAAUGCACUCAUAAUUGGAAGAAACGUAGAAUGUCGAUGGGCUUAUAAUAUAUGUCAGCGAUGUUCCUGUUCUUCUAUCCCAAGAUUUCUGUGUUCUCAGAUCUUGUAAAUCUUGGACCGUGCUUGCAACGAUCUU
rnacentral:lncRNA from 1 species